rnacentral:lncRNA from 1 species
GGGAAUACCAGGGGUGGGCACUGUCAAGAGACCCAGCUUUGACUUCAAAUGCCACCCAGAGGGACAACUGCUCACUUUCAGAGCAGGAGCAGGAGGCCAGAGGAGAGUACCAGCUGAAACUGAUUAGAGCCAAGAUAGCCAACCAAAUGACUUCAGGAAGACCUCAGGCUUCAUUAUCAUCUCAUUUCCAUGCUAAAAAAACCCAGCUCCCUAGAACAAUGGGAAAUAUUGGGCACUUCAUCAGGCGAGUUCAGGUGCAUUUCUAGAGAUUGUCCAGGUGCUGGUAACAAUAAUAGAGAACCAUCCAUAUCCACAAGAGGCAGAACCUCUUCCAGCAAAAUGGUGCUGCCUCACCCAAAGGUGGCCGAGGAGGCCGUCGGAGGACCACAAAGCUGCAAGUGGCUUUCCUGCGGCCUGCAGGGAACAGGUGGAGGACACUUGGAAGGGCACCCACCCCGGGUCUCACAGGAGUCUGCACCCGCAGGUCACACUGGCAUUAGCCCCUCAUCCUCUGGAGUUCAUCUCAUCCAGGCGAAGACAGCUGGCUGGCCUCAGAGGGUGAGACGCAACUCGAGGGUAAAAACAUUUUUACAGGGCAUGGACACAAAAGUGGCCUUUACCUCUGGAUAAGCUUUUAAAACUUCCCAUUUACAUGUAAAGGUGUACUUUCUAUGUGCCACCAAGAAACCUAAAGUGAGUAAAAGGUGUUUCACUUUAAUCAAGUUCCCCAAUGAGGGGGCACAGCUCUGAAAAGCACUGUCACAACAGGAGAUUCGAGGGUGCAUGCAAAGCAAUGUUUCUAGAAAAUGCCAAAGGAAACAGACACAACUCCAGUGUGGACUCCCGCUUCCCUGCACUGCUGCUCCAUCCUCAGGGCGGAGGCCACAUCGUCCAGCUAGCUGUGAGAACCUCAUCAUGCUCCUUGAUUGUGUGCAGCAGGUGUCUGCUGAAGUCCUCCACACUCUGCCUGUGAGAAAACUGUACUACAGAAAGGUGAGCACCUUGCCCAAAGUUACGCAGAAAGUGAAAAAACAAGAAUUCUAACCCAGACAACUAGAGAUAAAAUAGACAAGUGGCUUCAUGCAUCAGUAGCAUUGAAAGACACCUCGAAUGUGGCCUUACUUCAAGGUGAUGGAAUUUCUUUUUAAGCUCAGCUUCUACUUCCCUUCUGAGGAAGUUCAUGACAGGGAGCUGCUGCAACUGAUGUGACUUUCAACUCUAAUAUCCCGAUGAUGUAAAUGCACUGAUCAGCUCAGCAGGAUUUAAGGUCUCAUCCGCUGAGCAGUGCCUCCUCCCGAUUCAGCACGUCCCUGGUGCCGACUUUCUGCACGUGUUCACUUUGAGGCUGCAUUGUGGGCCUGCAAGAAAUGCAAAGCUGGUUGAGGCUUUAUUCAAUUCAAAUUCAAGCUGUUAAAUCGAGGCUCUCAGACUCCUGCUGCCUGGCCAGUGGAGAAAUUAACUUUCACAUAUGGCUUUGGGAUUUCUCUCUGUCAUCCUGGUCGACGUGUUCUCUCAUUUUUCUGAAGUCUGGGACCUCAACACAGACAUCUGGGUGAAGGCCUUGACAGCAGCGCUGGUGCAAAAUGAAUUGUCACAUCACACCCAACGUUCUCAACCUUUAGAAUCUGAAAGUAAGAAAAACACCUCAAACAUUGAUUCUGAGUAAUCAGCACAGAUUUCUAAAAGAAACUUUAUGGGAUGCUGAGACAUGAAUAAAAACAACUUUAUUCCUUUGGAAAGGACAACCCACAUGCUAAGAAGAUGACACUACACGUUGUUAUAGCCCGAAAGGCCCUCUUUCCACAGGGGAGCAGUGAAAAGUAGAGGUUGCCCAUGUGGAUUCCCAAGUCAGAUAGAUGUGGAUUCAGAUCCCAGCUCUGCUGCUUGCUACCCAAGAGACCAUGGACUGUGGACUCUUUAGGUCUCAGGGUUUUUGUUUGUUGUCUGUUUUUCACUUCCAAAACCAGAAAAUGAGAAGAUAUUUUCCAUAAGAUGGCGGUGGUGAGUAAAUGUAAUUAUAUGUCUAAAGCUAUGGGCAUGAAAGCUUGGCACACAUUUAAGUAAGUGCUUGAUAAAUGUUAAUUCUUACAACUAUUGGUAUCAUUUAGAUUUAGGUUGCUGAGUUAGUGGGAAAUAAUGUCCUUAUCAUGUGAGGAAUCCCUAUUCUCAAAAGGGGUUAUUAUCAUUAGAAUGCUAACUGUUUUCAAAACAGCUAAUUGACCAUUUUAUUCAGAAGCACCAUCUGCUACUCAUUAGGGUCUAGGUUUCUGUCAGCUCACGGGUGCCCAUAUGUGAGUUGAUAACCCUAUUUCAGUCUUGGUUGUUGAAUCCUCAGUGUCUGCGGUUGACUGACUAUCAGGUAUUUGCAUCUCUGAAAGUAAUUUUCAGCAGUGAGUUUUUAGUUAGGUUCUUUGGUUACAGUUCUGGAUAAUUAACACUAAAAUGAGACAUCUUAGAAGGCUUUGGCUCAGAUAAUUGAGAGAAGUGAAUGUUGAACAAGAUUCAGGAAGGGAAGAGCUGGGAUACCCCAAUGUCUGGAUUUCAUGCUCUUUUUCUCCAAGCACAUCCACUGUGGGGCUUGGCCUCAAUCCCCUAGAUGUCUUCAAUAUAAUCUUCAAUUGUCAGGAGAAGAGAACUUGAUGGACCUUGCUUGGACAAAAUGCCUUCACCGCUAACUCAGUCAGCUAUGGCGAUGGGUCAAGGACCUGGUGGUUUUACAGAGAAGACCCUUGGUCAAAUCUUUGUGAAUGAAGCAACCAUUCUGAUGUUCAAUAACAGGGUAAGUGCUGGCCAAUGAUGUCAUUAUCGUCCAUCCUGUGGCUUCCACACAUCAGUGAUCUUAUUAGAUACCUGCAAUUUCAACCCACUAUAUCAGAAUUCCAUAGGAAUGAGUUGUUUUUAAAGUUCUUCAGAGUGAAUUUGGAUGCUCAGUCAUUAUAAAGAACUAUCUUCAUCCUACAAAGACUGGUGUUUUUUCUUUCCUUGUUUAUCUUGGAAUUUUUUUCCAAUUGCAGCCUUGAAAACCAUUUCCAAUAAUGUCAGAAUUUGCUUAAAAGAUUGUGAAAGACGGUAAUCUGGAUUGUAAUACUGGGUCAAAGAGACCAUACCAGGAGCCAACCAUGCUAAAUCUAACUUUAAAAUACAGAAUUACAAUGUUAAGACAAGUUCCAUAGAGUGAUAAGGUCUAUGUGGUACUUACUAUUUUACACACAUUUUCCUACACUUAGUGUAACUGUCUCCUAAUUAAAUGCAAUUGUUUUAAAUUAGCUGAUGUGUGUUUUAUGUGAUAUAGCUUUAUAUCCUAAGCCAGAAUAAAAAUAUUCUGAGAGUGACA